rnacentral:rRNA from 1 species
AGCGAACGCUGGCGGCAGGCUUAACACAUGCAAGUCGAGCGCCCCUCCUUCAAGCGAGCUUGGAGGUUGCGGAGCGGGUUUCUCGGGUGGGCGCAAGCUCGCUUGAAGGAAACGCUUUGGAGAUCAAGCGAGCCUGAAGGCUCGCUUGAUGGAGGGGAGCGGCAGACGGGAGAGUAACACGUGGGAACGUACCUUUCGGUUCGGAACAACCCAGGGAAACUUGGGCUAAUACCGGAUACGCCCGCAAGGGGAAAGAUUUAUCGCCGGAAG